rnacentral:lncRNA from 1 species
AAUUGGGAUUUUUUCAACCUCCGACCUGAAAAUUCACAAUAAGAGUGUUCAGAAUUAAAAGAGGUCAUUCAGAAGGCCCAAUGAGAUAUCUUUUCUCCUUCACUGAACCCCAAAAUAAAAUCAGUCACAUUGAUUGAUAAAUUGCAAAUUGGGGCCAUCUUUGCUUGAAAAUAUCCAUUGUGUUUAAUCGAUUCAAUUCACAUCUAAGUGAAAGCAAAAAUGUGCAUUAUUCUUGUUUGUUUUGAAAAUUUACUUUGAGCAUUUGUUUCACUAUCUAUACAGAUUUUUAUCACUUGCUCUCCCAUUUGAGCCUAUGAAAAGAAUAAUUUCGUUUCAGAUAAGAGCCCUAAUGAUCACUACCCUAUAUUGGAAAAUUUUCAAAUAUCAAAUAGGGGAAUGGAUUUUCAAUAACCGUUUCGUUACUUUGGUUGUCAU